CCCAAAUUAUAAUGCUCUCCUUAGCCUUAAAGCCAUCCAAUAGUCCAAGCACUAUGUGAUUCUCAAAUGCCCUGCUGUUCCUUUCGAGUGACAAACCCAAAGCUGACACUGCCGGCAUAAACAACUGAGGUUUCUUACCUAUUGUCCCAAAUUAAUAACCUUUCCAGUUCCAUAACAUGACAUAAACAACUGAGGUUUCUUACCUAUUCACAUUUUUCUCUACCAGAAAUCCAGAAUGCUGCCCAUGCCUCAAAUAUGCCAAGGAUAAUGAUGCAAUAACUGAGACAUUGAUUCAGCACCCCUUAGGAAAAAAAUGGGAUGCAUUGGACAGACCGAGAUCCGUUCACUUAGAAAGAUGAUCAAUAGUGAGGAUGCUUUUCUUAGCCACUGCCCUAAGAAAAAUCUGAAGAAAAAACUGACUCUUCGUAGAUACAUGCUUCAGCCAUAUAGUGCUCAGACAGAAAGUGGUGCAACCUUGCCUCUUUAGCACAUUGAACCCAGGCUUUCAGAGAAUGAAUCCAGAUCCUCUUUCCCACUCCUUCAUAAGUGGUUUUCCCUUCCAACAUUUGCAGCUGAUGGAACAUUUGAUGAAGCUUCCAGUUAUUAAGGUUACAUUGAA